UGUAAUACCUUGAUGGAUAGGGAAAUUCCUAUACUUUUCUAUUUUACCUUUUUCGUGGUGUUUGAAAACAAUUCUUUUUUGUAACUAAAGAAAAACUCAUGAUUUUUACGACAACAAUUUUAUAAAAUCAGACAUAAUUGAGCUUUUUCAUAAGAAUAUGAACAAAAUAAAUUUGGUAAAAUAUUGAAUGUUUAUGUUUUACAUGUAUUUUAAUCCUUGAGAUUAUGUUUCCUCAAUUUAUGCAAUUUGAAGAGCAUCGAGUGCCAAUGAGCUAUAUGUUGUUUAGGUAAAUUAUGACUGGACUGUUUCUUCAAAUUUCAUGCAUGUGUAUCAAUGCUGCAAAAUCCAUAGUUAUGUAUUGAAUUUUUCCAAAUUUGGAAUCAUGGUUCUUUAUAGUGUCUAGAGUGAAUAUAUAAGCUAAGAAUUGUAAAUAACCACAAUGACUGUUUUAUAUUGGGUAUAUCCCUCUAACUAUUUUUAGAAUCGGUAGGACAACAAAGAAGUGCCUUUAAGCAAAAUAGUCCCUAUACUUGCAGAGUGUAUAUACAUUUAUUGGGACAUUUUAGAUCAGAAUGCUUGACACAUGUCAGAAAAGAGGAUUUGCAAUUUUUAAAACAAGUGUCAAAAUUGAAUUAUCAUUUGAAAUAAAGAAUUGAAAUUGUUUGAUGUACACCCUUUCCAAAACUGAGAAAUUCCCUACUUUUACUUUCAUUUUCAGAGUUUUUCAAUACAGACGCAUUUUGCCGGAAAACGAAUCUGACUUCAAACCACGAAAUUUUAACAGGAAAGAGACAAUUUGAUGAGCUUUCAUUGAAGAGGUCCCUCGUUGCUGAACGAAAAUUAGGGCCAGAGCUAUGAACCAUAACGUUAACAUUACCGCCUAUGGAAAAUGCAUUAGUGGACUAUACCCAUAUUGAGCUCCAUGCUGAUAACAUGUAAAUUGAAAUGGAAGUCAGUCCUUCAAAGAAUAAAACACAACAAUGAGCCACACUUGAUAGUUUUUCAAUACAGACGCAUUUUGCCGGAAAACGAAUCUGACUUCAAACCACGAAAUUUUAACAGGAAAGAGACAAUUUGAUGAGCUUUCAUUGAAGAGGUCCCUCGUUGCUGAACGAAAAUUAGGGCCAGAGCUAUGAACCAUAACGUUAACAUUACCGCCUAUGGAAAAUGCAUUAGUGGACUAUACCCAUAUUGAGCUCCAUGCUGAUAACAUGUAAAUUGAAAUGGAAGUCAGUCCUUCAAAGAAUAAAACACAACAAUGAGCCACACUUGAUAGUUUUUCAAUACAGACGCAUUUUGCCGGAAAACGAAUCUGACUUCAAACCACGAAAUUUUAACAGGAAAGAGACAAUUUGAUGAGCUUUCAUUGAAGAGGUCCCUCGUUGCUGAACGAAAAUUAGGGCCAGAGCUAUGAACCAUAACGUUAACAUUACCGCCUAUGGAAAAUGCAUUAGUGGACUAUACCCAUAUUGAGCUCCAUGCUGAUAACAUGUAAAUUGAAAUGGAAGUCAGUCCUUCAAAGAAUAAAACACAACAAUGAGCCACACUUGAUAGUUUUUCAAUACAGACGCAUUUUGCCGGAAAACGAAUCUGACUUCAAACCACGAAAUUUUAACAGGAAAGAGACAAUUUGAUGAGCUUUCAUUGAAGAGGUCCCUCGUUGCUGAACGAAAAUUAGGGCCAGAGCUAUGAACCAUAACGUUAACAUUACCGCCUAUGGAAAAUGCAUUAGUGGACUAUACCCAUAUUGAGCUCCAUGCUGAUAACAUGUAAAUUGAAAUGGAAGUCAGUCCUUCAAAGAAUAAAACACAACAAUGAGCCACACUUGAUAGUUUUUCAAUACAGACGCAUUUUGCCGGAAAACGAAUCUGACUUCAAACCACGAAAUUUUAACAGGAAAGAGACAAUUUGAUGAGCUUUCAUUGAAGAGGUCCCUCGUUGCUGAACGAAAAUUAGGGCCAGAGCUAUGAACCAUAACGUUAACAUUACCGCCUAUGGAAAAUGCAUUAGUGGACUAUACCCAUAUUGAGCUCCAUGCUGAUAACAUGUAAAUUGAAAUGGAAGUCAGUCCUUCAAAGAAUAAAACACAACAAUGAGCCACACUUGAUAGUUUUUCAAUACAGACGCAUUUUGCCGGAAAACGAAUCUGACUUCAAACCACGAAAUUUUAACAGGAAAGAGACAAUUUGAUGAGCUUUCAUUGAAGAGGUCCCUCGUUGCUGAACGAAAAUUAGGGCCAGAGCUAUGAACCAUAACGUUAACAUUACCGCCUAUGGAAAAUGCAUUAGUGGACUAUACCCAUAUUGAGCUCCAUGCUGAUAACAUGUAAAUUGAAAUGGAAGUCAGUCCUUCAAAGAAUAAAACACAACAAUGAGCCACACUUGAUAGUUUUUCAAUACAGACGCAUUUUGCCGGAAAACGAAUCUGACUUCAAACCACGAAAUUUUAACAGGAAAGAGACAAUUUGAUGAGCUUUCAUUGAAGAGGUCCCUCGUUGCUGAACGAAAAUUAGGGCCAGAGCUAUGAACCAUAACGUUAACAUUACCGCCUAUGGAAAAUGCAUUAGUGGACUAUACCCAUAUUGAGCUCCAUGCUGAUAACAUGUAAAUUGAAAUGGAAGUCAGUCCUUCAAAGAAUAAAACACAACAAUGAGCCACACUUGAUAGUUUUUCAAUACAGACGCAUUUUGCCGGAAAACGAAUCUGACUUCAAACCACGAAAUUUUAACAGGAAAGAGACAAUUUGAUGAGCUUUCAUUGAAGAGGUCCCUCGUUGCUGAACGAAAAUUAGGGCCAGAGCUAUGAACCAUAACGUUAACAUUACCGCCUAUGGAAAAUGCAUUAGUGGACUAUACCCAUAUUGAGCUCCAUGCUGAUAACAUGUAAAUUGAAAUGGAAGUCAGUCCUUCAAAGAAUAAAACACAACAAUGAGCCACACUUGAUAGUUUUUCAAUACAGACGCAUUUUGCCGGAAAACGAAUCUGACUUCAAACCACGAAAUUUUAACAGGAAAGAGACAAUUUGAUGAGCUUUCAUUGAAGAGGUCCCUCGUUGCUGAACGAAAAUUAGGGCCAGAGCUAUGAACCAUAACGUUAACAUUACCGCCUAUGGAAAAUGCAUUAGUGGACUAUACCCAUAUUGAGCUCCAUGCUGAUAACAUGUAAAUUGAAAUGGAAGUCAGUCCUUCAAAGAAUAAAACACAACAAUGAGCCACACUUGAUAGUUUUUCAAUACAGACGCAUUUUGCCGGAAAACGAAUCUGACUUCAAACCACGAAAUUUUAACAGGAAAGAGACAAUUUGAUGAGCUUUCAUUGAAGAGGUCCCUCGUUGCUGAACAAAAAUUAGGGCCAGAGCUAUGAACCAUAACGUUAACAUUACCGCCUAUGGAAAAUGCAUUAGUGGACUAUACCCAUAUUGAGCUCCAUGCUGAUAACAUGUAAAUUGAAAUGGAAGUCAGUCCUUCAAAGAAUAAAACACAACAAUGAGCCACACUUGAUGUAAGUAAAAUUUAAUUUUUGUAACUUCAAUCGUCCAAGUUUAAAAGAAGGAACCUAUAAAAACUAUAUACCCUGCAUGGCCAGUAUUUUACAUGCAGAUAAUUUAGAAUAUUAUAGAUACUGGGAAACUUUACAUUGAUUAUACAUAUUUCACAGACUUUGUGGGUAUUUCUUGUUCUUCUGGAUUUUGAACUUUAGUUAAAUGUAGACUCUCUUCCACAGGAUAUGUCUUUUGAUAAUUUUUUGUUAAAUUUGUUACCAUGGUAACAAUAUACAAGAGUAAAAGAAAAAAUCCUUAUUAGCAAGUUUCUUUUCCCUAUGACAUAUAUUUAAGGAGUUAAGUCAUGGUGCAUUUGUUCCGAAAUUAGGCUUAAAUAAAAAGUUCAGCAAAUAUUACACUUAUAUGAGUAAAAACAACUCAUCACUAUGACGUCAUAGGUGAGGUAAUCUCAAGCUAGCAUCAAAAUGGAGCAAAAACUGAAUUGAGGGCCUCACAUUAUAGAGUCAUAUAACUUUAUUAUUUAUAAACCAAUACCUACAUGUAAUACCUUGAUGGAUAGGGAAAUUCAUAUACUUUUCUAUUUUACCUUUUUCGUGGUGUUUGAAAACAAUUCUUUUUUGUAACUAAAGAAAAACUCAUGAUUUUUACGACAACAAUUUUAUAAAAUCAGACAUAAUUGAGCUUUUUCAUAAGAAUAUGAACAAAAUAAAUUUGGUAAAAUAUUGAAUGUUUAUGUUUUACAUGUAUUUUAAUCCUUGAGAUUAUGUUUCCUCAAUUUAUGCAAUUUGAAGAGCAUCGAGUGCCAAUGAGCUAUAUGUUGUUUAGGUAAAUUAUGACUGGACUGUUUCUUCAAAUUUCAUGCAUGUGUAUCAAUGCUGCAAAAUCCAUAGUUAUGUAUUGAAUUUUUCCAAAUUUGGAAUCAUGGUUCUUUAUAGUGUCUAGAGUGAAUAUAUAAGCUAAGAAUUGUAAAUAACCACAAUGACUGUUUUAUAUUGAGCUCCAUGCUGGUAAGGCAUAUUUCUUGUUUAUUUGCAAUUAUUAUGAUAAAAGUGCAUUUUUCUUUUGUAUAUCUUCUCAUUUAUGUGAAUAAACUAAAUUUCCAACAUGUUCAACA